rfam:Mesocricetus auratus contig160301, whole genome shotgun sequence.
GGGAAUAUGGUAACAAUUGAAUGACUCUAAGUGAGGUGAUGACAGAAAAAAAUCAUAGUCAAUAACAUUACACCGAGUCCU